CCACGGGCCCCUCUGCGCCGGGCAGCAGGGACAGAGCCACGCACGCAGAGCGUGGCCCUGGUGGCUCCUGUCCCCCAGGUCCCCACACUGGAGCUGAGAAGUCGGAGCACCCCGGAAUUUGGUACUUGGCAGCCACCCCUGCUGCCACCACUGCCACCGUCUGCCUGGCACCCGUCCCCGUUGUGCCUUACGUGCCCUCCGUGCUCUUCUGCUCCCCAGCAGUUCCUACCUCAGCCCCAGCCCUGGCCGGGGUCCCCCUCGGUGUCACUGCGGGGUCCCGGC